rnacentral:rRNA from 1 species
UACGAAGGGGGCUAGCGUUGUUCGGAAUUACUGGGCGUAAAGCGCACGUAGGCGGAUUGUUAAGUUAGGGGUGAAAUCCCAGGGCUCAACCCUGGAACUGCCUUUAAUACUGGCAAUCUCGAGUCCGAGAGAGGUGAGUGGAAUUCCGAGUGCAGAGGUGAAAUUCGUAGAUAUUCGGAGGAACACCAGUGGCGAAGGCGGCUCACUGGCUCGGUACUGACGCUGAGGUGCGAAAGCGUGGGGAGCAAACAGG